rnacentral:rRNA from 1 species
AAAGGAAUAGACGGGGACCCGCACAAGCAGCGGAGCAUGUGGUUUAAUUCGAAGAUACGCGAAGAACCUUACCAAGGCUUGACAUCGUAUGGUCGAUAUAGAGAUAUAUUUUUCCCUUCGGGGACAUGCAGACAGGUGGUGCACGGUUGUCGUCAGCUCGUGUCGUGAGAUGUUGGGUUAAGUCCCGCAACGAGCGCAACCCUUAUCAAUAGUUGCCAAUAUUAAGUUAGGAACUCUAUUGAGACUGCCGUGGAUAACACGGAGGAAGGUGGGGAUGACGUCAAAUCAUCAUGCCCCUUAUGUCUUGGGCUACACACGUGCUACAAUGGCUAUUACAAAGAGCAGCAAGAUGGUAACAUUAAGCGAAUCUCAUAAAGAUAGUCUCAGUUCGGAUUGUGGGCUGCAACCCGCCCACAUGAAGCAGGAGUUGCUAGUAAUCCCGAAUCAGAAUGUCGGGGUGAAUGCGUUCCCGGGUCUUGUACACACCGCCCGU